ensembl:lncRNA
GGAAAGGAGCAGAAAGACGGAAGAUGAAGCAGGUGAAUGUUCAUCAGCAAAGCCAAGAGACCAGCAUGUUUGGAAGAGCAGGGCAUGGUCAAAAAUACUCACUCGGGGCCGGGCCGCUGGCACAGCAGUUAAGUGCACACGUUCCACUUCGGCAGCUCGGGGUUCGCCAGUUCAGAUCCCAGGUGCAUGGCACCGCUUGGCAAGCCAUGAGGUGGUAGGCAUCCCACAUAUAAAGUGGAGGAAGAUGGGCACAGAUGUUAGCUCAGGGGCAGCCUUCCUCAGCAAAAAGAAAAAAAAAAAGAGGAGGAUUGGUGGCAGAUGUUAGCUCAGAGCUAAUCUUCCUCAAAAAAAAAAAAACACAGAUGCUAAGAAGCAAAAUCAGACAAGGACUGAAAAUGUUCUCUGGAUGGUCUGCUCAUGGUCUUGCUUAUUUUUAUUGAAGUGUUCAUCACUUUUUUAUUUUUCUGUAGAGCUAUCUUUAAAAAUGUUUAAUAAACCAUUUUGUUCCAUUUAUCCAAAAUAUUUAGAGGUUUCUGAAGGUAUCGAGAACAAUGCUUCACACAUUAGUCAUGAAAAGCUAGUAUUGUGCCAUUUACUGCAAACUUCUGACAAGAUGCUAUAAAGUAAGGCAUUUACCCUUUGCCCUAAUAAGAAAUCCUGCCCCUCAAAAACAAGAUGAUUCUCCCCACCUCAGCACAUCCGCCACCUGGAGGGCAGCCAGCCAUCUAUUAAGAUGGAGCCACGCUGGGACCCAUCCUUCUGCCACAUCUGCUCUAGUCUGUCUCUUCUCAUCUUUGACAUUGUCUGAAAAUGCCACUGCAGACAGAAACGGGUUUUCUUCACUUUGAUGUGACCCAGGGCUCCAGCCAAAAGCAAGAGUGUCAUGUCACAGAGAAGCUAUAAAAACUGACCCGACCAUACAAGUUCAAAGACCUUUGUACUGGCUAUUAGUCAGAGAGGCAGCUUCCCCAGAUGCGUUCCGCCAGGAGGGGAAAACUCCGGCGCAGGGGAGACCUACAGGAAGCACCUGGGGAGAAGCGACUUCCAGACUGCUACAAACUGAGCGUCAUUCCGUCGACCUAAGCAGCAGCUAGGCUGCUUGUUCUCGUCGCUGCCACCAGGGGGAGCCAAACCACACAGGCCGGAGGGAGACAGGGAAACGGCUGGGCGUGCCCUCCAUCCAACAGCCUCAUGGAGCCAGGAGAGACGUCAGACACUUCUACGCGCCCAUCAGACUAGAGAGACUGGGCGCCGUUAGAAAACUCGCACUUUUUAAGGAACUUUCCAGAAGCAGGCAGGAGUCAAAAGGCAACCCAAAAGGGAGGAAAGGGAACCUACACAGUCCUGGGGGGACUUCCAGGAGGCCCCCUAAAUGGCCUUGGGCUGACUCUGCCAGCCAGGAUGGGAGGUAAGACACGAAGGUGGACCAUGACAAUAUGCAGAGGGAUUGGACCACAGCUCUGUUCUAUGAAGACUGAUCAGAGAGAGGAAAUGGGGGCCUGGUAGAGACAAGAGAAUGGAUGUGAGAGGCUUUAUGGAAGUAAAAUCUACAGGACUUGGAAGGUGUCAAAGGCAGUGAUGGAGGCCAGGACUCCCUGCUGAGGAGCCUCUGGAGGUCCCGAGCGACACAGAGACUGACCAGCAGCCUCUGAGAUGAUGGUACAAACAGCAUCAUGCCCACAGAAUCACCAGAAGAGCCCAGUGGAUGUCUCCAGCCUAAUUCAAAGGGACACAUUCUCAGCUAGGUUCAUUUACAUCCAGAAAAUCUUCACACAUUCAACUAUUAGGAUUUCCUCCACUUUCAGCCCCCAGCCCCACCCCUUCCAUCACCAUAACAAACACCUUGUGACAAGCAGUCGUGGCACUAUCAGGAAGGACUUCCUCUGGUCAGCUCCCAGGUUCCUAUGACAUACAGACCUCCGCCCACCCCAUUUCUCACCGCCCUAUCUCCUUCCCCCGCCCUGCGUCUCUAAGCACUGCCCCAUUUCCAGACGGAUCCUGGCUUUAUUCAACACACUGGUAUCCUUAGUAUCGCCUGGGUCCUUGCACAUGGAGGAUUAGUGGAUCAGACAAAUUCCAAAACGACACAGAUCAUACAUGGCAAUCAGAACAAACAGAGGCUAAAUGUUUAAGGACCAAGAAGGAUGGAGCGGUGGCCCAAAUCCAUGCCGAGCUCCCUGGGAGAUCUUGGGCAACUUACCUCCCUUCUCUGAGACUCAGUUUCCUUAAUGUCAACCAAGAUAUUAAUAGUAUUAUAGUUUUUAUGAGAAUUAAACAAAAUAAUGCAUGUAAAUACUUAACUUAG